rnacentral:rRNA from 1 species
UACGAGGGGUCCUAGCGUUGUUCGGAAUCAUUGGGCGUAAAGCGUGCGUAGGCGGUUUGUUAAGUCUGUCGUGAAAGCCCCGGGCUCAACCUGGGAAUGGCGAUGGAUACUGGCGAGCUAGAGUACGGUAGAGGAGAGUGGAAUUCCCGGUGUAGCAGUGAAAUGCGUAGAGAUCGGGAGGAACAUCAGUUGCGAAGGCGGCUCUCUGGACCAGUACUGACGCUGAGGCACGAAAGCGUGGGGAGCAAACAGG